rnacentral:lncRNA from 1 species
AUGGUGCAAGUGACUAGCAGCCAGAUUUUUUGUUGCUCUUGUUUAAUUCCUCUUCGCCAUUUGGGGCCCUGCCUUCCUUCUCCAUCUCACCGUUGCCUGGGUCUGUACACAAACAGAAAACUUCCAUCACAAUACAGAAGAAAAGAUAUGAGGAAACUCCUAGAAGGUACUUCAGUUUUUCAACUAAAGGAAACUUUGCAUCAGUGUAGGCAUUCUCCACGGCACCUCUCAACAAACUCCCGCCAGCUGAAAGUGGAUGUGUCUGGCCUUCAGGCUGAAGCAGAGCCCUGUGUCUGUGGCAGGUCACCGCAUCUUUCAGGCUGCCAUUAG